rnacentral:rRNA from 1 species
AUACGUAGGUGACAAGCGUUAUCCGGAUUUACUGGGCGUAAAGGGCGUGUAGGCGGCGGUGUAAGUCUGGAGUGAAAGUCCCGCAUUCAAUGUGGGAAUUGCUUUGGAUACUGCAGUGCUAGAGUGCGGAAGAGGUAAGUGGAAUUCCCAGUGUAGCGGUGAAAUGCGUAGAGAUUGGGAGGAACACCAGUGGCGAAGGCGACUUACUGGGCCGUAACUGACGCUGAGGCGCGAAAGCGUGGGGAGCGAACAGGAUUAGAUACCCUGGUAGUCCACGCGGUAAACGAUGAAUGCUAGGUGUUGCGGGUAUCGACCCCUGCAGUGCCGGAGUAAACACAAUAAGCAUUCCGCCUGGGGAGUACGGCCGCAAGGUUGAAACUCAAAUGAAUUGACGGGG